GAUGAACGCUAGCGGCAGGCCUAAUACAUGCAAGUCGAGGGGUAGAGAGAGCUUGCUCUCUUGAGACCGGCGCACGGGUGCGUAACGCGUAUGCAACCUACCUUUAUCUGGGGGAUAGCCCGAAGAAAUUCGGAUUAACACCGCAUAAAAUCACAGAACGGCAUCGUUCAAUGAUCAAAUAUUCAUAGGAUAGAGAUGGGCAUGCGUGCCAUUAGUUAGUUGGCGGGGUAACGGCCCACCAAGACCGCGAUGGCUAGGGGAUCUGAGAGGAUGGCCCCCCACACUGGUACUGAGACACGGACCAGACUCCUACGGGAGGCAGCAGUAAGGAAUAUUGGUCAAUGGAGGCAACUCUGAACCAGCCAUGCCGCGUGCAGGAAGACAGCCCUCUGGGUCGUAAACUGCUUUUAUUCGGGAAUAAACCUGCUUACGUGUAAGUAGCUGAAUGUACCGAAGGAAUAAGGAUCGGCUAACUCCGUGCCAGCAGCCGCGGUAACAC
rnacentral:rRNA from 1 species